UGUCACCAUCAAUUAUACAGUCACCUUUUUCCAUGAGCGACAGACAGAGUCUUAAUGGUUUGGUCAACAACUGCACUAGUCUUAACUGGCAUUAUAAUUACUCUAAGCUUUUGAAUGGAAUGAACCAAAACCAAAAGAAAGAAGAACUGGAAACGAAUAUGGAGAAGAAGAGAAAGUGAGAGUUGGAGGAUGAGAAGAAACGAAUGUGGUGGAAUUGAGGGUGAGAUAAAUAUGAUUAAAGUAAAAAAAAAUUGCUUUUGUAAUUAAAAUUUUUUUGGCAAAGUUUAGGAAAGUGCAUGAAUUUGGUGGUAGUGGAGGUAGGAACGCUCAAAUCUCGGACAAGGCUUGUAAUAGUCUAAUAUCAAUAAACAAGCCCAAUUCCUUUAACGGGUUGGGUCAAUAAUAAGGCCCAUCGAUUUUCAGGGACCUAUCCGCAACGCUUUGGUUAUCUUCUGCUUCGACGUCAGCUGGAAGCAAAGAACUUUUCGAGCGGUGACGGAAUGUAGAAUGAAUUAUGAAAGCUAAUUUUUGAAGUUGCUAUCUGCAUCUUGCAAACACAUGCAACCCACCAUCGCAAGAAACAGGCAAAAUAUUUGAGAAACCGAGACAAAUUUCCAUCCAGUACUUCUCUACAUGACAUGAUGAAACAAUACAGGUGUCCAGAAUUAUGUUAUGUAUAAAUAAUGCUCAUCAACUUUACUUUUGUUGGUUAAGGGGCAAGACUUGUCUGUUGGAUCGAGAAAAUGAAGAUGAGAAAGAUCAUUAGAUUUGAAAAGAAAACAUUUUUACGUUGGAGGAGCUGGGAUUAUCAUCUAUACUGACGUUUUAGAUGAUGCUGCUUCACUGAAUUGCUAUCUAUAAAAAUUAUGCAGUAGCUUGACUGUACAAAAUACAUGCCUCUCUUUGACAAAACUCUUAAAACUAGAUUGAAAAGAAGGGGAAAACCAAACAACUGUUGUGAAUAUAUUUUCAGAAUGCUGGUACAUUUGGACCAUAUUUCUAACCUGCUCUUCUUUUUCAAGCUUCCAAGUGUUGUUCUCUAUGCCAGCUUAGUGUUGCUUUCUUUCGUAGUCAAAGGAACAGGAUGAAUUGGUUAAGUCCUGUUGUGGAUAGGAUCUGAUCCUCUUGGCACUCUUCUUUUGCUGGAUUGACUUGGAUCAAACUCAUGGUUGGAAUUGGCUGAAUUCUUCUCUGUGGAAUCAAGCCGUUUGUUUCCAUUUGCUGAGUUCUUCUUUGUGUUCAAUAAUUCCUCCUUAGUCUUCGUGGCAUGUUGAUUCUGCAACAAUAUCCUUUGGUCCUUUUGGCUCUGUCUUAGUGCAAUUUCUGAACUUCUGAGGCCUAACACAUUCUCUGGUUGAAUUGAUAUUAGGAACACCACAAAGAGAAGAAGAAUGAUUUUUCUAGAAGGAUGAAACACCAUAUUCCCUUCACCCUGAAACAAGAAGAGUAGAUGAUGCGUUUUUUCUGUUUAGAGUGACAGGAGAAUAAGAAGCUCUCCCCUAAUCUGUGUUCUUAUGGUCCAUUCCUGUAGACAUAACCUUGUUAUAUAUGUCAUACUAGAUUUGGAGGGGGCUUUUAAAGCUUAAAGAAGAGAUGGCCUACAGGAAUUUUUAGAUUCAUCUCGAAUAACAAGCCUGAAAUCUUAGCUAAUUAAGGCUGUUACUGAAGAAUCUGACAAGGAUGAAUAAAGGGAUUGGGACAAUGUCCUUGAGAGGCCAAGUAUAUUUCUUUUUUCAUUUCUUUCCCUACAUGUCUAUCAUAUGCCUGCUUUUUUCACCAAAAGAAGCCAUACACCGUUGCCUGGACUCUGUCCAACUUGCCACAUCAUACUAUACUUGUGUAUGGAUAAAUAGGUCUUACAUUCUCCGGUGCUUAAGCUUGGUAAUGGCGUACUUGGAUAAUUCAAAAUAUUUAUCAUUCUGGUAUCUAUAUCCAUUGAAUUAUUUUGCUUACGUUUUGCCUAUAUGUUGCAACUAUCUUUUAAAUUUGUGUAUAAAUUCAAGUGGAGUACUUCAAUGAUUGGAUGAUAGUAUUUUAUUAUAACAACAAAAACCAAAAUAUGUUAA